UACGUAGGGUGCAAGCGUUGUCCGGAAUUAUUGGGCGUAAAGAGCUCGUAGGCGGUCUGUCGCGUCUGCUGUGAAAACUCGGGGCUUAACCCCGGCCUGACAGUGGGUAUCGGGCAGACUAGAGUGCGGUAGGGGAGACUGGAAUUCCUGGUGAGCGGUGAAAUGCGCAGAUAUCAGGAGGAACACCGGUGGCGAAGGCGGAUCUCUGGGCCGUGACUGACGCUGAGGCGCGAAAGCUGGGGAGCGAACAGG
rnacentral:rRNA from 1 species